CCUACGGGUGGCAGCAGUGGGGGAUAUUGCACAAUGGGCGAAACCCUGAUGCAGCGACGCCGCGUGGGCGAAGAAGGCUCUAGGUAUGUUAAGCCCUAUCAGCAGGGAAGAAGAAAUGACGGUACCUGAGUAAGAAGCACCGGCUAAAUACGUGCCAGCAGCCGCGGUAAUACGUAUGGUGCAAGCGUUAUCCGGAUUUACUGGGUGUAAAGGGAGCGCAGGCGGCACGGCAAGCCUGAUGUGAAAGCCCGCGGCCCAACCGCGGGACUGCAUUGGGAACUACCGGGCUGGAGUGCCGGAGAGGUAGGCGGAAUUCCUAGUGUAGCGGUGAAAUGCGUAGAUAUUAGGAGGAACACCAGUGGCGAAGGCAGCCUACUGGACGGUGACUGACGCUGAGGCUCGAAAGCGUGGGUAGCAAACAGGAUUAGAUACCCUAGUAGUC
rnacentral:rRNA from 1 species